GGUGGGCCCAGAACCGACAUUUUAACAAGCACCCCAGAAUGAUUUUCAUGAGCGUGUCCGUGCUACUAAAGCUCCAGAACAAAGAACGCAGUCUUGCCCGCAGAAUUUAUCAACCUUGACUCUCCAUCAACUCCCCUAAGGUGCUUUAAUUUUUUAGACGUUUGUUCCUCCGUGUUGCCCAAGUAUGGGCAAUGCCAAGACGUCAGAAUCACCCCCGCCCCCCAUAAUCGGAAGGGGUGAUUCCAGAGCCACACCCCAGGCCAGCGGUAAGGCUAGCAAAACCACAUUUUUAGCCAGCGCCCCUAGCGGCCGGCAGAGACGCUUCCAUAAACGGUUUUUAAUAAGAAAACAUUGCUCAUCGGUUUAAACCCCUGUGUCAACAACGACUUGAAAGAAAAAUAACCCAAUAUUGCUGGCUGACAAGGAAAUCGCUUCCCUAUAAAUAAAUCCCAGACGCGUCGCAAUCAAUGGCUUGCUGAUAUUCUGCCAGGCAGAUAAAGGCCCACACAGGACAAUGGAGCAAUGAAGCCCGAAGACAUCUCUAAGGCGUUGCAGACGAAGGCCUGCUCAAGCCCCUUCCUCGGGAACCCACAGGAGAGGUGUCAGCCCCGUGGAGCGCCUGUGGGAUCUGCACUCCUGGUCUUCCAGAGAGCCCACCGCCUCCCUCCCCGGCUCCCCAGACCCCUGGCCAGCCCGGGCCGUCCACCCAGUCUCUGCUGAAGGACGUUCUUCCCUGCCUCUUGCCCAGCUGCUUCCAAGAGAUGAAUUCCUUUUUCUAAGAUACAAUUUAAGUAGUCCCCAGUUUUGUAUAGCUUCCUGGAAGACUUCAAGCAGAGCUGGCCAGCCCAUCUUCGGUAUCCAUAGGGCCUACCUCUCUCUUCUUCCACUUUCCUUGAUCUUUUUGCAGUUUAUACAGCUUACCUAAAUCUUUCUGGCAAACCCAUCCGAAGGCUUUCCUGCUUCAGCAGAAACACGUCAAUCACUCUAAGAGUCCGGCCUCUCUACGUGUCCUGUGCCAUUACGUGCAAGGAAAACUAUGAGGUAUUGUUCCACCCCUCACCACCCUCCCCAUCAACACUGUAAUUUUCAUCACCCUUCUAUCUUUUUUAACAGUAUCAGCAUAUCGGGAUGAGGAUCUCAGCAGCCCAAUCUCCUUACAUGGCUUCAGUUUCAUUUUAGAUCAUAUUUUCCAUAGAAAUCUUAAGAAGUUAUACACGCUAUGUUGCUUUUAAAACGGCCUUCCUUUAGGGCGCCUCUUGGUUUCAGCUCAGGUCAUGAUCUCAUGGUUUGUGAGUUCAAGCCCCAUGCCUAGGCCCUGCACUGACA